GACGAACGCUGGCGGCGUGCCUAAUACAUGCAAGUCGAGCGGACGGAUGGGAGCUUGCUCCCAGACCGUCAGCGGCGGACGGGUGAGUAACACGUGGGCAACCUGCCUGUAAGACUGGGAUAACUCCGGGAAACCGGGGCUAAUACCGGAUAACUCUUUCCCUCACAUGAGGGAAAGCUGAAAGAUGGCAUCUCGCUAUCACUUACAGAUGGGCCCGCGGCGCAUUAGCUAGUUGGUGAGGUAACGGCUCACCAAGGCGACGAUGCGUAGCCGACCUGGGAGGGUGAUCGGCCACACUGGAACUGAGACACGGCCCAGACUCCUACGGGAGGCAGCAGUAGGGAAUCUUCCGCAAUGGACGAAAGUCUGACGGAGCAACGCCGCGUGAGUGAUGAAGGUUUUCGGAUCGUAAAACUCUGUUGUCAGGGAAGAACAAGUACCGGAGUAACUGCCGGUACCUUGACGGUACCUGAACAGAAAGCCACGGCUAACUACGUG
rnacentral:rRNA from 1 species